UACGUAGGGUGCAAGCGUUUGUCCGGAAUUAUUGGGCGUAAAGGGCGCGUAGGCGGCUUUUCAAGUGACGGGUGAAAUCCCUCGGCUUAACCGAGGAACUGCCUGUCAGACUGGAAGGCUUGAGACCGGGAGAGGUGAGUGGAAUUCCCAGUGUAGCGGUGAAAUGCGUAGAUAUUGGGAGGAACACCAGUGGCGAAGGCGGCUCACUGGACCGGAACUGACGCUGAGGCGCGAAAAGCGUGGGGAGCAAACAGG
rnacentral:rRNA from 1 species